rnacentral:rRNA from 1 species
UACGGAGGGUGCAAGCGUUAUCCGGAUUCACUGGGUUUAAAGGGAGCGUAGGUGGGUUGGUAAGUCAGUGGUGAAAUCCCCGAGCUUAACUUGGGAACUGCCAUUGAUACUAUCAGUCUUGAAUGCUGUGGAGGUUAGCGGAAUAUGUCAUGUAGCGGUGAAAUGCUUAGAUAUGACAUAGAACACCAAUUGCGAAGGCAGCUGGCUACACAAAUAUUGACACUGAGGCUCGAAAGCGUGGGGAUCAAACAGG